rnacentral:rRNA from 1 species
GAUGAACGCUAGCGGCGUGCUUUAGGUAUGCAAGUCGAACGGUCCCACUUCGGUGGGACAGUGGCGGACGGGUGAGUAAUGCGUAGGGAUGUACCCUUUGGUGGGGAAUAGCCUCGGGAAACCGGGGGUAAUACCGCAUAAGUCUUUAUGAGAAAGGGCGUAACUGCCCGCCGAUGGAGCAACCUGCGUCCUAUCAGCUUGUUGGUGAGGUAAUGGCUCACCAAGGCGAUGACGGGUAGCUGGUCUGAGAGGAUGGUCAGCCACAAUAGCACUGAGACACGGGCUAUACACCUACGGGUGGCAGCAACCGGGAAUCUUGCGCAAUGGGCGAAAGCCUGACGCAGCGACGCCGCGUGCGGGAUGAAGGCCUUCGGGUCGUAAGCCGCUUUUAUCUAUUGGUCAACAAUGAAUGAAUAACCACCUGCAAACUACGUGCCAGAAGCCUCGGUGAUGCGUAGGGUGGAAGCGUUAUCCGGAUUUAUUGGGCGUAAAGGGUUUCGUAGGCGGCUUGUUAAGUCCAAAUUCAAAGCCUGGGGCUCAACCCCAGAACGGGUUUGGAUACUGAUAAGCUAGAGGUUUUUCGGGGGUGCUGGAAUUCCUGGUGUAGGGGUGAAAUCCAUUGAUAUCAGGAAGAACGUCAAGGGCGAAGGCAGGCACCUAGGAAUGACCUGACGCUAAGGAACGAAAGCUAGGGGAGCAAAAGGGAUUAGGGACCCCUGUAGUCCUAGCCGUAAACGAUCCCUGCUAGCUGUUCUGUCAUUAGAUGGAGUGGCGCAAGCUAACGCGUUAAGCAGGCGCCUGGGGAGUACGACCGCAAGGUUAAAACUCAAAGGAAUUGACGGGGAUCUGCACAACCGGUGGAGCAUGUGGUUUAAUUCGAUACAAAGCGUAGACCUUACCUGGGCUUGACAUGCUAGUGACCGCAUCGAAGAUGGCUUUCUUCGGGAACACUAGCACAGUGCUGCAUGCUGUCGUCAGCUCGUGCGUGAGUGUUCCCUUAAGUGGGUAAACGAGCGCCACCCUUACUG